GCUCAUAAUAUUUAUUCUUACAUGUGUUUUCCACUGAAACAAACGCAGGUGACAGCAUAAUUGCAUGAUGAAAGGGGUAGAUUACCGAAGGCGUCAUUCUCUGCUGUCUACCUGGCUCCUGGUUUUGCGUUUGAUAGUGCUGCUCUAGCGCUGAGACCCCUAGAGGGCGUAGUUCUUCCUGAUGUCCUAUUACUUCUAGGUGUCGACCCAGUCAGCCCAGCCAGUAAUACACUAUCUUCCAUGGACCGGCUCAUACAUAAAACGUCCUCCAUUCAGGCUGCAAAGGCAUCAGUUUCCUUCUUAACUCGAUUUAAGAUCUCGUCGUGGGAAAAAAAAACGUGUAAAAUAUGUGCACUGUAUUAAUAAAACACAAUUUUCCAUCACCAUGCUAGGGUGGCUAAUGCUACUUCCUGAUGUUGCGGUGCGCUUACAGGAAGGGGUAAACAGACUCACUAGGGCUGUGCUUCAAACUCAUAAAAGACACACCCUCGUCCACUUACCCUCGCCUUAUGCCCUUGGGGGAAUCCCCAUCACCAUCUUGGACGUCGGUCCAAGCGAUUAGCCAAACAAGGGCCGUUCGCAACGUAAGCCCCCUAGCCCUCGUUUUUGGUCGAGUUUGCGAGCGUACAAUUAUUUUCACUUUGGGCCUGAAACGCACCAUAAUUCAAUUCGCAAUGAUUGUACAUCCGCUAAAAAAAGUCAGCCGAAACAUAAAACCUCAACAUGGAUAAGUCAACAUACAAGUGUAAGUAAAUACGAAUGUUAAAAGAUUAGAAAUUGUGCUUCUAAUGCACAUGACGGCACAAACACAUCUUGUAAAAGUAAUGAUGUUUUUGUUUGGUUAGCUUUUGGAAAUUGUAGAAAUAAAAUAUUUUUCUUCAGAAGUUCCAGCUAGGCAGGCUAACAUGAAUUAGCUAAUUAAUUAUCUAGCUAUCAUACAGUAGGCGUAUAUUAAUCAUUAUAUAAUUCAUAUAAGUAGACAUGCAAUCAUAAUUGACUGUAGCGCAUAUAAAGCACCCACAAGCUACCUUUGGCUGAAACACAAUCAUCCCGGGAUGAACGAGUGACACAUUUCCGGGCAAGGGCGGUCCUGCAAGUGUAUACUCAUCAGACGUCAUGAUACGUCAUCAGAAGUGUCCACUUAAUUUGAGGGCUGAGGGGAUAGGUGUAACGAGUGCGCUGAGAGUCGGGAAGCAAGUUCAGGGAGUGAGUGUUUUAAUAAAUAAAAGAAACAAUGCACCGACAUGAAAACAGAGUCAAUAACACCUGAGGAAAGAACCAAGGGGAGUGACAGAUAUAGGGAAGAUAAUCAACGAGGUCAUGUCCAGAUUUGCCCUUGUGUUUUAGGUUAUUGUCCUGCUGAAAGGUGAAUUCAUCUCCCAGUGUCUGGUGGAAAGCAGACUGAACCAGAUUAUCCUCUAGGAUUUUGCCUGUGCUUAGCUCCAUUCCGUUUAUUUUUCAUCCUAAAAAGCUCACAUGGCCUUAAGGAUUACA
rnacentral:lncRNA from 1 species